rnacentral:rRNA from 1 species
UACCUACGGGACGCAGCAGUGGGGAAUAUUGCACAAUGGGGGGAACCCUGAUGCAGCGACGCCGCGUGAGUGAAGAAGUAUUUCGGUACGUAAAGCUCUAUCAGCAGGGAAGAAAAAAGGACGGUACCUGAGUAAGAAGCCCCGGCUAACUACGUGCCAGCAGCCGCGGUAAUACGUAGGGGGCAAGCGUUAUCCGGAAUGAUUGGGCGUAAAGGGUGCGUAGGCGGCCUGCUAAGUCUGGAGUGAAAGGUACCGGCUCAACCGGUACAGUCUCUGGAAACUGGCGGGCUAGAGAGCAGGGGAGG